GACGAACGCUGGCGGCGUGCUUAACACAUGCAAGUCGUACGGUAAGGCCCUUUCGGGGGUACACGAGUGGAGAACGGGUGAGUAACACGUGAGUAACCUGCCCACAACUUUGGGAUAACGCUAGGAAACUGGUGCUAAUACUGGAUAUGUGCUCCUGCUGCAUGGUGGGGGUUGGAAAGCUCCGGCGGUUGUGGAUGGACUCGCGGCCUAUCAGCUUGUUGGUGGGGUAGUGGCCUACCAAGGCGGCGACGGGUAGCCGGCCUGAGAGGGUGACCGGCCACAUUGGGACUGAGAUACGGCCCAGACUCCUACGGGAGGCAGCAGUGGGGAAUAUUGCACAAUGGGCGCAAGCCUGAUGCAGCAACGCCGCGUGCGGGAGGACGGCCUUCGGGUUGUAAACCGCUUUCAGCAGGGACGAAGCUUUUUGUGACGGUACCUGCAGAAGAAGCACCGGCUAACUACGUG
rnacentral:rRNA from 1 species